AUAGAGAGUGAGUCUGGAGAGAGAUGCCAUUUAGCUACCAGAAAGGUAGGGCGCCAAGGCAUUCUCCAGUAAGAUAAGGUCAUGUGAACAAAGACAUCUGUUCAACAAUGUUCAUAGCAGCACUAUCUGUAGUAGCCAGAAACUGGAAGCAGCCUAGAUGCCCUCAACUGAAGAAUGGAUGGAGAAAAUGUGGUACAUUUACACAAUGGAGUACUACUCAGCAGAAAAAAAGAAUGGAAUCUUGAAAUUUGCAGGAAAAUGGAUGGAACUCGAAGAAACCAUUCUGAGUGAGACCCUUCCAGUAGUACCAAACACAAUGGAGACCUUCCAGAAGUACCAAACCCAACAGAGACCUCCUAGGAGUACCAAACCCAAUGAAGACCAGCUCUCAAUGCUCUCUACACCUAGGAGUUAUCCCGGCCUCCUCCUCUAAGUUGUUUUCCAUGU
rnacentral:lncRNA from 1 species